CGCGUAGGUGGUUUGUUAAGCGAGAUGUGAAAGCCUCGGGCUUAACCUGGGAACGGCAUUUCGAACUGGCAGGCUAGAGUGUGGUAGAGGGUAGUGGAAUUUCCUGUGUAGCGGUGAAAUGCGUAGAUAUAGGAAGGAACACCAGUGGCGAAGGCGGCUACCUGGACCAACACUGACACUGAGGUGCGAAAGCGUGGGGAGCAAACA
rnacentral:rRNA from 1 species